ACUAGCAUGGCCUUGAUCCUUUGCUGUUGCUGCUGCUUAUGUUGUGGGAUGAAACAAUUCCACAGAAUGCAAGGUCUAGCAAGUGAAAGCCAGAAUCCUCUCUUCCCACCACCUUGGACUGGAACCUUCAGAUCCUGUUCGUCAGUGUCAAAUGCCUGACCAUUCCUGGAUGAGGGGAUUGAGGCUGAAAAAGGAGAGUGCUCAGUAAGAGGAACCUGCGUAAGCUGGAGGAUAAAGCAAGUUCAGGAAGACUCCUUAGAAAAUAACCCCAAGGCCUGGGGUGUCAUCUGAUGAAGGAAAAGAGGCCGUGCCAAGUGAGCCCUGCUGAAGUGGCAGGCCCAGAUUAUAGCAAGAAAAUGUGACUGAUGUAAAAG